UAUCUCUGUAGAGUCUGCAUAUCAAUAAGCGGAGGAAAAGAAACUAACAAGGAUUCCCUUAGUAACGGCGAGUGAAGCGGGAAGAGCUCAAAUUUGAAAUCUUCAAGGUUCUACCUUGACGAAUUGUAGUUUAUAGAAGUGUUUUCUGUUAGUGGAGUGGCAAAAGUUCUUUGGAAUAGGACAUCAUAGAGGGCGAGAAUCCCGUAUUUGGUCAUUCCUCCUAGCGUUGUGAUACACUUUCAACGAGUCGGAUUGUUUGGGAAUGCAGUCCAAAAUGGGUGGUAAAUUUCAUCUAAAGCUAAAUAUUGGCGAGAGACCGAUAGCGAACAAGUACCGUGAGGGAAAGAUGAAAAGAACUUUGAAAAGAGAGUUAAACAGUACGUGAAAUUGUCAAAAGGGAAGCGUUUGACACCAGUGUUGUUUUCUCGAAAAUCAAUUAAAAAUAAAUUUGAUUUUGUGUUGUAUUGACCUUAAAAGCUUUCUUCACUUUUUUCAUGUUUAUUUUUAAUGCACUUUUCGUUUAACAAGUCAACAUCAGUUUCUUUUGUUGUAAAAGGGUCAUUGGAAGGUGGCUUUCUUUUCGGAGAAAGUGUUUAUAGCCUUUGGCCUCUGCAAUCGGAGAGAUUGAGGUCUGCAGCGUAGAUCCUUCGGGGUUAGAUACAUUUGUGCUAAGUUAUAGCCUUUCAUAGACAACUUGUUGACUAUGAUCAGUCAUGUAGCUUACUCGCUUAUGCUAUUUUACCUACGCUUAGGAUGUUGAUCUCUCACAGUCGAGC
rnacentral:rRNA from 1 species